GGAGGGGUGGCUGAGUGGUCGAAAGCGGCAGUCUUGAAAACUGCUGAGGGCGAAAGCUCUCCGUGGGUUCGAAUCCCACCCCCUCCGCCA
rnacentral:tRNA from 7 species